GCUAGUGUAGCAAAAUCCGGCCCUGCCAAAGACCUAAGCUCUUUCCAUAGAAGUUCAAAUCUUCUCACUAGCU
rnacentral:tRNA from 1 species